rnacentral:rRNA from 1 species
GAUGAACGCUGGCGGCGUGCCUAAUACAUGCAAGUCGAGCGAACGGACGAGAAGCUUGCUUCUCUGAUGUUAGCGGCGGACGGGUGAGUAACACGUGGAUAACCUACCUAUAAGACUGGGAUAACUUCGGGAAACCGGAGCUAAUACCGGAUAAUAUUUUGAACCGCAUGGUUCAAAAGUGAAAGACGGUCUUGCUGUCACUUAUAGAUGGAUCCGCGCUGCAUUAGCUAGUUGGUAAGGUAACGGCUUACCAAGGCAACGAUGCAUAGCCGACCUGAGAGGGUGAUCGGCCACACUGGAACUGAGACACGGUCCAGACUCCUACGGGAGGCAGCAGUAGGGAAUCUUCCGCAAUGGGCGAAAGCCUGACGGAGCAACGCCGCGUGAGUGAUGAAGGUCUUCGGAUCGUAAAACUCUGUUAUUAGGGAAGAACAUAUGUGUAAGUAACUGUGCACAUCUUGACGGUACCUAAUCAGAAAGCCACGGCUAACUACGUGCCAGCAGCCGCGGUAAUACGUAGGUGGCAAGCGUUAUCCGGAAUUAUUGGGCGUAAAGCGCGCGUAGGCGGUUUUUUAAGUCUGAUGUGAAAGCCCACGGCUCAACCGUGGAGGGUCAUUGGAAACUGGAAAACUUGAGUGCAGAAGAGGAAAGUGGAAUUCCAUGUGUAGCGGUGAAAUGCGCAGAGAUAUGGAGGAACACCAGUGGCGAAGGCGACUUUCUGGUCUGUAACUGACGCUGAUGUGCGAAAGCGUGGGGAUCAAACAGGAUUAGAUACCCUGGUAGUCCACGCCGUAAACGAUGAGUGCUAAGUGUUAGGGGGUUUCCGCCCCUUAGUGCUGCAGCUAACGCAUUAAGCACUCCGCCUGGGGAGUACGACCGCAAGGUUGAAACUCAAAGGAAUUGACGGGGACCCGCACAAGCGGUGGAGCAUGUGGUUUAAUUCGAAGCAACGCGAAGAACCUUACCAAAUCUUGACAUCCUUUGACAACUCUAGAGAUAGAGCUUUCCCCUUCGGGGGACAAAGUGACAGGUGGUGCAUGGUUGUCGUCAGCUCGUGUCGUGAGAUGUUGGGUUAAGUCCCGCAACGAGCGCAACCCUUAAGCUUAGUUGCCAUCAUUAAGUUGGGCACUCUAAGUUGACUGCCGGUGACAAACUGGAGGAAGGUGGGGAUGACGUCAAAUCAUCAUGCCCCUUAUGAUUUGGGCUACACACGUGCUACAAUGGACAAUACAAAGGGCAGCGAAACCGUGAGGUCAAGCAAAUCCCAUAAAGUUGUUCUCAGUUCGGAUUGUAGUCUGCAACUCGACUACAUGAAGCUGGAAUCGCUAGUAAUCGUAGAUCAGCAUGCUACGGUGAAUACGUUCCCGGGUCU